GAAGGGGCGCCGGGGCCCUUGCGGAGGCCGGCGAGGCCAGGGGUCAGCUGCUCACCCUCCCCCACCCCGGCCUCCAAGUCGGCCAGUAGUGAGAAGGGUCGUGGCGGCCAGAGGCUGCCCCCCAGUGCCGCUAGGGGAACCCGGAGACGCGCGGCCUCACCCCCCCCCCAUCCGGCAACCCCCUCCCCCGACGCCCUGCGACAGAGGCGGCCUCCCGGCUUCACCCUGGGACCCGCGCUCUGCUGAGCCACCCGCCGCCGGCCUCCCGGGUCCCUCUCUGUCCCUCCUUUGCAGGUGGCGGGACGAUCCCCAGGGAAGAAGGAGAGAGAUUCGGCCCCUCCGGAAGGCAGCAGCCCCAGCUGUGGCCCCAGGACUUGCAGUGGGGACGGGGCACCUCCUCAUCUCCUCCCCGGCCCCCUCUUUUGGGGUCUGGGCCCCCACUGUAUUCACUGUGGGUGAAGGCCACGCAGGGAGACACGUGUCUCGGAUCCGUCCUGUCAAUGCCAAGGUUCCUCGCUGGGCUUUAUGGCUUCUUCAGCCACCACCGACUCCGAUUCCGAGUUCUGUUGCUACAGCGUUCAUGAAGCACAGACCUCACUCACGGGGAGUAGACGUGAGCUCCACCUCUGGAAGGGAAGGGCAUCCGAGAGUGUGUGGGCAGAGUCUGAAAGCGGCACGGAGAUCCUGACCAUUCCUGGUUCAUCUUCUGCCUAACUCAUGAAAAUGAAAGCCACACGUGCAGCGGGGGACACGUGGCUCCCUCAGAAGUUCCCGCGAAAGCAACGGGCUAGCUGAUUUUUCUCCAAUUCUCCAUCCCAGCGCGGGCUCCUGCAUUAGGAUUUGGCUUGGGGUUUAUUGCCUCUCGGUCACAACAUGGCUGCUGAGCUCCGGACAUCACCUUCUCCCACAACAGGGAAAAAAAUGGAUAGGUGGGGUGGUGACAGCCCUCUCCUAUCCUGAUUCUCCUCUUUUAUCCAGUCACAAACCUAUUUCCCCAAAGCGGCCAGCACACUCAUUGGCCAGAACUGGGUCACUGCCUACCUGCCCCUACAAAGGAGUCUAGGAAACAGGAGAGCUGGCUUUUUUCACCACUUUGGUAUGAGGUGGUAAAUGGGAGAGGAGUUGUUCGUGGCUGUUAGAUCAGCCAAUCAACACUAUCGGUGACGGACGUGACCUCAUGCCCACUGCAAGAAUAAUUUUUAAACAUUGAGAGAGAAAGAGAGAGAGAGAUGGAGAUAUUCUUUCUCUCCCGCAGUGGCAGUGGGAGAGAUACUAUUUUGCAUCAUAAAAUCCAUCUACAGAAUCAGCUU